CGUUCCCGGGCCUUGUACACACCGCCCGUCACGUCAUGAAAGUCGGUAACACCCGAAGCCGGUGGCCCAACCCGUGAGGGAGGGAGCCGUCGAGGGUGGGACUGGCGAUUAGGACG
rnacentral:rRNA from 1 species